UACGUAGGGCGCAAGCGUUAUCCGGAAUUAUUGGGCGUAAAGAGCUCGUAGGCGGUUCGGUAAGUCGGGUGUGAAAACUUUGGGCUCAACCCAAAGCCUGCACCCGAUACUGCUGUGACUUGAGUCCGGUAGGGGAGUGGGGAAUUCCUGGUGUAGCGGUGGAAUGCGCAGAUAUCAGGAGGAACACCGGUGGCGAAGGCGGGUCUCUGGGCAGUAGCUGACACUGAGGCGCGACAGCGUGGGGAGCAAACAGG
rnacentral:rRNA from 1 species